rnacentral:rRNA from 1 species
CUUUUACAAUGAAGAGUUUGAUCCUGGCUCAGGAUGAACGCUAGCUACAGGCUUAACACAUGCAAGUCGAGGGGCAUCAGGAAGAAAGCUUGCUUUCUUUGCUGGCGACCGGCGCACGGGUGAGUAACACGUAUCCAACCUGCCCUUUACUCGGGGAUAGCCUUUCGAAAGAAAGAUUAAUACCCGAUAGCAUAAUGAUUCCGCAUGGUUUCAUUAUUAAAGGAUUCCGGUAAAGGAUGGGGAUGCGUUCCAUUAGGUUGUUGGUGAGGUAACGGCUCACCAAGCCUUCGAUGGAUAGGGGUUCUGAGAGGAAGGUCCCCCACAUUGGAACUGAGACACGGUCCAAACUCCUACGGGAGGCAGCAGUGAGGAAUAUUGGUCAAUGGGCGCUAGCCUGAACCAGCCAAGUAGCGUGAAGGAUGAAGGCUCUAUGGGUCGUAAACUUCUUUUAUAUAAGAAUAAAGUGCAGUAUGUAUACUGUUUUGUAUGUAUUAUAUGAAUAAGGAUCGGCUAACUCCGUGCCAGCAGCCGCGGUAAUACGGAGGAUCCGAGCGUUAUCCGGAUUUAUUGGGUUUAAAGGGAGCGUAGGUGGACUGGUAAGUCAGUUGUGAAAGUUUGCGGCUCAACCGUAAAAUUGCAGUUGAUACUGUCAGUCUUGAGUACAGUAGAGGUGGGCGGAAUUCGUGGUGUAGCGGUGAAAUGCUUAGAUAUCACGAAGAACUCCGAUUGCGAAGGCAGCUCACUGGACUGCAACUGACACUGAUGCUCGAAAGUGUGGGUAUCAAACAGGAUUAGAUACCCUGGUAGUCCACACAGUAAACGAUGAAUACUCGCUGUUUGCGAUAUACAGUAAGCGGCCAAGCGAAAGCAUUAAGUAUUCCACCUGGGGAGUACGCCGGCAACGGUGAAACUCAAAGGAAUUGACGGGGGCCCGCACAAGCGGAGGAACAUGUGGUUUAAUUCGAUGAUACGCGAGGAACCUUACCCGGGCUUAAAUUGCAGUGGAAUGAUGUGGAAACAUGUCAGUGAGCAAUCACCGCUGUGAAGGUGCUGCAUGGUUGUCGUCAGCUCGUGCCGUGAGGUGUCGGCUUAAGUGCCAUAACGAGCGCAACCCUUAUCUUUAGUUACUAACAGGUUAUGCUGAGGACUCUAGAGAGACUGCCGUCGUAAGAUGUGAGGAAGGUGGGGAUGACGUCAAAUCAGCACGGCCCUUACGUCCGGGGCUACACACGUGUUACAAUGGGGGGUACAGAAGGCAGCUAGCGGGUGACCGUAUGCUAAUCCCAAAAUCCUCUCUCAGUUCGGAUCGAAGUCUGCAACCCGACUUCGUGAAGCUGGAUUCGCUAGUAAUCGCGCAUCAGCCACGGCGCGGUGAAUACGUUCCCGGGCCUUGUACACACCGCCCGUCAAGCCAUGGGAGCCGGGGGUACCUGAAGUACGUAACCGCAAGGAUCGUCCUAGGGUAAAACUGGUGACUGGGGCUAAGUCGUAACAAGGUAGCCGUACCGGAAGGUGCGGCUGGAACACCUCCUUUCUGGAG